CCCCUUGAUAUAUACAUUCACUCAAUCAAUAUAGUCCACAAUGCAUAUAAACAUCCCUAUCAUUAACCGUCUAACUACCAUCAGCCUCACUAUCUGUUAACCACCCCGCCUUGUUACAGCCCUACCAGCGUCUCCACGUGAUGAACAACAGCCUCCAGCAUCUUGUCAGCCGUCCCAGCCUCUCGUCGCUCUUUCCCCGCUAGACUCUGGGUUAAGACGUGAUGAACCCCCAGCCUGCAGCUUCUUGUCACACCUCCCAUCCCGGCCUUUCCCCGCUGGAUGCUGCUUCGAGACGUGAUGAACCCCAGCCUCCAGCAUUUGCCACACCUCCGAGCCUCUCUCCUCGUCAUUUGCCCGAUGGACCCUGGACGAGGAGGACGUGAGGAAGAGAAGGUGAAGAUGAAGACGAGGAAAUAGUGGGCUGUGGAAAGGAAGAGGAGGAAGAGAAGAGGAAGAAGAGGAAGGAGCAAAAAUGACACCCAAGUCUUUCUGUGGGUGACGCGACUUCCCCCAGCAUCCGAGGGUGUUCUGUGGAUGACGUGACCUCUUCCCAGCAUCCAAGAGUGUUCUGUGGGUGACGUGACCUCUUCCCAGCAUCCAAGAGUGUUCUGUGGUUGACGUGGCCUCUUCCCAGCAUCCAAGAGUGUUCUGUGGAUGACGUGACCUCUUCCCAGCAUCCAAGAGUGUUCUGUGGAUGACGUGACCUCUUCCCAGCAUCCAAGAGUGUUCUGUGGAUGACGUGACCUCUUCCCAGCAUCCAAGAGUGUUCUGUGGAUGACGUGGCCUCUUCCCAGCAUCCAAGAGUGUUCUGUGGAUGACGUGACCUCUUCCCAGCAUCCAAGAGUGUUCUGUGGAUGACGUGGCCUCUUCCCAGCAUCCAAGAGUGUUCUGUGGAUGACGUGGCCUCUUCCCAGCAUCCAAGAGUGUUCUGUGGAUGACGUGGCCUCUUCCCAGCAUCCAAGAGUGUUCUGUGGAUGACGUGGCCUCUUCCCAGCAUCCAAGAGUGUUCUGUGGAUGACGUGGCCUCUUCCCAGCAUCCAAGAGUGUUCUGUGGGUGACUUGGCCUCUUCCCAGCAUCCAAGAGUGUUCUGUGGGUGACUUGGCCUCUUCCCAGCAUCCAAGAGUGUUCUGUGGGUGACUUGGCCUCUUCCCAGCAUCCAAGAGUGUUCUGUGGAUGACGUGACCUCUUCCCUGCAUCCGAGAGUGUUCUGUGGGUGACCUGACCUCUUCCCUGCAUCUGAGAGUGUUCUGUGGGUGACCUGACCUCCUCCAGCAUCCAGCAGACAGGAGUGUGGAGAGAGAGAGAAGAAGAAGAUGAAGAUACAGGGAAAGACGAAGACGAAGGGAACCGAAGACGAAGGAAACAGCCCAUGGGACGAGAACCUUCCGAGAGAUGCCCACACUUACUGACUGAAGAUUACGAGUGUGGAGAGAGAGAGGAAGAAAAGAAUAGAUGAAGAUACAGGGAAAGACGAAGACGCAGGGAGCCGAAGACGAAGACGAAGGACGGGACGAGAACCUUCCGAGAGGAGCCAACACUUACCGACUGACAACUCCUUCCCUUACAAGACACAGCACCAGCAAGAACAGUUGGCAGAAUGAGACAAGCAGCUUCCAAGAGGUGCUAAAAGAACUGACUGACAAUUCCUUCCCUUACAAGACACAGCAGCAGCCAGAACAGUUGAUAGAAUGAGACAAGAUGCCUCCGAGAGGUGUUGACAGUAAAUGAUCAAGAACUCCUUCCCUCGCAAGACACAAGAUGCUCCCGAAAGAUUAUUCAACCGACUAACCGACCAGACUGACUGACUGUCCUGCCCUCAUAAGACAACUACAACUGGUGCCUCAAGAUCUCACCUUCCAGCAUUAUAAUAAAGUUGUUAAUGUAAAUAAUAAAGUUGAUGUAUUG